rnacentral:rRNA from 1 species
CAAGUCGAGGGGCAUCGGGGAGCGAAGCUUGCUUUGCUCCGCCGGCGACUGGCGCACGGGUGAGUAACACGUAUGCAACCUGCCCUCUUCAGGGGGACAACCUUCCGAAAGGGAGGCUAAUCCCGCGUAUAUCGGUUUCGGGCAUCCGAGAUCGAGGAAAGAUUCAUCGGAAGAGGAUGGGCAUGCGGCGCAUUAGCUAGACGGCGGGGUAACGGCCCACCGUGGCGACGAUGCGUAGGGGUUCUGAGAGGAAGGUCCCCCACACUGGUACUGAGACACGGACCAGACUCCUACGGGAGGCAGCAGUGAGGAAUAUUGGUCAAUGGGAGAGAUCCUGAACCAGCCAAGCCGCGUGAGGGAAGACGGCCCUAUGGGUUGUAAACCUCUUUUGUCGGAGAACAAAACCCGGGACGAGUCCCGGACUGCGUGUAUCCGAAGAAAAAGCAUCGGCUAACUCCGUGCCAGCAGCCGCGGUAAUACGGAGGAUGCGAGCGUUAUCCGGAUUUAUUGGGUUUAAAGGGUGCGUAGGCGGUCCGUUAAGUCAGCGGUAAAAUUGCGGGGCUCAACCCCGUCGAGCCGUUGAAACUGGCAGACUUGAGUUGGCGAGAAGUACGCGGAAUGCGCGGUGUAGCGGUGAAAUGCAUAGAUAUCGCGCAGAACUCCGAUUGCGAAGGCAGCGUACCGGCGCCAGACUGACGCUGAGGCACGAAAGCGUGGGGAUCGAACAGGAUUAGAUACCCUGGUAGUCCACGCAGUAAACGAUGAAUGCUGGUUGUCCGGGUCGAAUGAGACCUGGGCGGCGAAGCGAAAGCGAUAAGCAUUCCACCUGGGGAGUAC